AUUGAACGCUGGCGGCAGGCUUAACACAUGCAAGUCGAGCGAGAGGCGGACGGGUGAGUAAUGUCUGGGAAACUGCCUAAUGGAGGGGGAUAACUACUGGAAAAGGUAGCUAAUACCGCAUACCAUCAGAUGUGCCCAGAUGGGAUUAGCUAGUAGGUGGGGUAAUGGCUCACCUAGGCGACGAUCCCUAGCUGGUCUGAGAGGAUGACCAGCCACACUGGAACGGAGACACGGUCCAGACUCCGACGGGAGGCAGCAGUGGGGAAUAUUGCACAAGGGGCGAAAGCCUGAUGCAGCCAUGCCGCGUGUGUGAAGAAGGCCUUCGGGUUGUAAAGCACUUUCGGCGAGGAGGCGUUACUCGCAGAAGAAGCACCGGCUAACUCCGGGCCAGCAGCCGCGGUAAUAC
rnacentral:rRNA from 1 species